GUCUGCAACUCGACUACAUGAAGCUGGAAUCGCUAGUAAUCGCGAAUCAGAAUGUCGCGGUGAAUACGUUCCCGGGUCUUGUACACACCGCCCGUCACACCAUGGGAGUCGGAAAUGCCCGAAGUCAGUGACCUAACCGAAAGGAAGGAGCUGCCGAAGGUGGAGCCGGUAACUGGGGUGAAGUCGUAACAAGGUAGC
rnacentral:rRNA from 1 species